rnacentral:lncRNA from 1 species
CUUAAGCUAUCAUGCCCCAAAUAAAAUUUUCUGUGUACCCUUCAUAUAAACAUAUAGGACUUUAAACAUUUUCUUUUGGCCAAAAGUGAUCAUGUUUCUUCUAUUUAAACACAUGUUUUAGAAAAUUUACAGGCCUAAAAAAAGUUAAAGUCACAUUUUAAAAUUCCUCUUGCUUCCCAUCCCCCAGAAAAUUUACAUAUUAUAAUUAGAGCCAAUAUGAUGAAAGGAAUUUGAAUGAAGAAUAUUGCUUUACAAGAAACUGUUUCAGGAAUACCUCAUUUGCACAGAGUUAAAAAUAUUUUAAAAUCUGCAUAAAAAGAAUGCUGGUUUUUAUUAAAUGAGCAACUAAACUGAACUGAUGAAGAAGUAAAAAUUUGCCUCUCCUAUAGUUACACACCAUGUCUGCAUUGUUUAUUUCCAAUUUGUCAGGGAAUAACAAUUUCUAUGAUGUAAAUAAUUAUAUAACUGCUUG